GACGAACCGUGCGAACGUUGUUCGGAAUCACUGGGCUUAAAGGGCGCGUAGGCGGGUUCCCAAGUCCGGGGUGAAAUCUUUCGGCUUAACCGGAAAAUAGCCUCGGAUACUGGGAGUCUUGAGGGAGGUAGGGGCAGUUGGAACUUCCGGUGGAGCGGUGAAAUGCGUUGAUAUCGGAAGGAACGCCGGUGGCGAAAGCGAACUGCUGGACCUCUUCUGACGCUGAGGCGCGAAAGCCAGGGGAGCAAGCGGG
rnacentral:rRNA from 1 species